AGGACGAACGCUGGCGGCGUGCUUAACACAUGCAAGUCGAGCGGAAAGGCCCUUCGGGGUACUCGAGCGGCGAACGGGUGAGUAACACGUGAGCAACCUGCCCUUAGCUCCGGGAUAGCUCCGGGAAACCGGAAUUAAUACCGGAUAUGACCUAGGCCGACAUCGGCUGUGGUGGAAAGUUUUUCGGCUGGGGAUGGACUCGCGGCCUAUCAGCUUGUUGGUGGGGUAAUGGCCUACCAAGGCGACGACGGGUAGCCGGCCUGAGAGGGCGACCGGCCACACUGGGACUGAGACACGGCCCAGACUCCUACGGGAGGCAGCAGUGGGGAAUCUUGCGCAAUGGGCGAAAGCCUGACGCAGCGACGCCGCGUGGGGGAUGAAGGCCUUCGGGUUGUAACCCCUUUCAGCAGGGACGAAGCGAAAGUGACGGUACCUGCAGAAGAAGCGCCGGCUAACGUACGUGCCAGCAGCCGC
rnacentral:rRNA from 1 species